GAUGAACGCUGGCGGCGUGCCUAAUACAUGCAAGUCGAGCGAACAGACGAGGAGCUUGCUCCUCUGACGUUAGCGGCGGACGGGUGAGUAACACGUGGAUAACCUACCUAUAAGACUGGGAUAACUUCGGGAAACCGGAGCUACUACCGGAUAAUAUAUUGAACCGCAUGGUUCAAUAGUGAAAGACGGUUUUGCUGUCACUUAUAGAUGGAUCCGCGCCGCAUUAGCUAGUUGGUAAGGUAACGGCUUACCAAGGCAACGAUGCGUAGCCGACCUGAGCGGGUGAUCGGCCACACUGGAAGUGAGACACGGCCGAGACUCCUACGGGAGGCAGCAGUCGGGAAUCUUCCGCAAGGGGCGAAAGCCGGACGGUGCAAAGUCGCGUGAGGGAUGAUGGUGUUCGGCUCGUUGAGCUCUGAUAGUAGGAAGGUAGUAAUGUGUAAUUACCUAUGAACGUCUUGACAGUACCGAAUCAGAAAGCCACGGCUAACUACGUG
rnacentral:rRNA from 1 species